rnacentral:rRNA from 1 species
GUCCUACGGGAGGCAGCAGUGAGGAAUAUUGGUCAAUGGUCGGGAGACUGAACCAGCCAAGCCGCGUGAGGGAGGAAGGUACAGAGUAUCGUAAACCUCUUUUGUCAGGGAACAAAGGCGGGGACGUGUCCCCGGAUGAGUGUACCUGAAGAAAAAGCAUCGGCUAACUCCGUGCCAGCAGCCGCGGUAAUACGGGGGAUGCGAGCGUUAUCCGGCUUUAUUGGGUUUAAAGGGUGCGUAGGCGGGCUUUUAAGUCAGCGGUAAAAAUUCGGGGCUCAACCCCGCCCGGCCGUUGAAACUGGGGG